UGAACGCUGGCGGCGUGCCUAAUACAUGCAAGUCGAGCGAACAGAUGAGGAGCUUGCUCCUCUGACGUUAGCGGCGGACGGGUGAGUAACACGUGGAUAACCUACCUAUAAGACUGGGAUAGCUUCGGGAAACCGGAGCUAAUACCGGAUAAUAUAUUGAACCGCAUGGUUCAAUAGUGAAAGACGGUUUUGCUGUCACUUAUAGAUGGAUCCGCGCCGCAUUAGCUAGUUGGUAAGGUAACGGCUUACCAAGGCAACGAUGCGUAGCCGACCUGAGAGGGUGAUCGGCCACACUGGAACUGAGACACGGUCCAGACUCCUACGGGAGGCAGCAGUAGGGAAUCUUCCGCAAUGGGCGAAAGCCUGACGGAGCAACGCCGCGUGAGUGAUGAAGGUCUUCGGAUCGUAAAACUCUGUUAUUAGGGAAGAACAAAUGUGUAAGUAACUAUGCACGUCUUGACGGUACCUAAUCAGAAAGCCACGGCUAACUACGUG
rnacentral:rRNA from 1 species